AAUAUUUUUAAAAUAUGCAGUAUAUAGAAUUAAACAGUUUGAAGAAUUCUUCAGAUAGGAUUGAUUGAACUGGUAAAUUACUUUACUGUCUUUGCCGACUUUUGCGAAGCCUUUGUAUGUAAUAAAGCCGACGUUGUUACAUUGAUAGAUGCAAAUCUACUGCUUUGAUGUGGACCAAUGCUCAAGGUUUAAGGAAGCAGUUAAAGGAAAAGGGAAGAUAAGAGCUUACCCGUUCCAUUUGAGGUUGUAAUAGAAAAAAAUUUGGAUUACCAAGCAAUCAUUGAUGGAGUCGGGAAUGUUAGUCACUUUGGUCGCCUGGGAACAGGAGCUUCCUCACUCCUGUGUUCCACGUCGGCAGGGAGUGUCCGUGGCAACGCACAAAGGAGGCCUCUCCACGCCUUCCUGACGACGGUCCUUGGGUUUGCAAGAGGGUGGCAGGAGCCGUGGCAGGUGUUCCUGUUCAGUCAUCACAAUCACAUCGCCAACAGUGGCUGCAGGAGUCUGGAGGAUGAAAAUAGAGGUUGCUUGGGGCGAUGGCUCAAGAUGCAGUGAGCAG